rnacentral:misc_RNA from 1 species
GAGGGAGAUCACAAAACUGUCUCCUACUACGCUGGUCCUGCGCUACUAAUUUUACUAACAUUGCUGCUGCUAUAUCCCCAGGAUAACAUAAACAGCCAAGAAAAUAACAUAAAAAAAAAAAUAACUUGCUAGAAAUGGAAGUUCAUGACCUAUAAAGCAUGGAGCUAAAUUUUCAAGGCCUGGUUAAUAUGCAGCCUUUUGGAGCAGAUGCUGUGAAGGAAGAAUUUGAAGGAAAAACUUAAAGAGACAGAGAGAGAGAGAGAAUUAUGAAACUUCUAAAUGAAAAAGAGUUGUAAAACAAAGAAAACAGUAAAAGGAAGUGGAUUUGAAGCUUUGGACAUCCUCAUAGGAAAAAGUAAUCAAGCUCCAAGGGAAGUCAUAGGUUGUUUGUGAAAAAUCUGCAACCUGAUAAGUGAUGGGCUUGAAGAUGAAAUUCUCCUAAGCAUAUAUGGCAGGGUUAAAGAGUCACAGUUUGGUUUCCUUAAAAAAUCUGC